UUUCAAAUUAGUUUUUUAACUGUUUAUUACAUAGAUUAGUGUUUUAAAAUGAUAAAUAAUGUCAUGUUUUGUAUAUUAGCCAGGAUUUUGAUAUCUCAGUCUCUAUAUCCUAAGAAGGCAAUAUAUCUUAUCUUUCUUUAUUUACUCAAAUCUUCGUCUUGCCUGAGGCAAAUCGAGAUUUCGGUCCCUCGUCUUUACCACCCACCA
rnacentral:lncRNA from 1 species